AUUACUCCUACGGGAGGCAGCAGUGGGGAAUCUUGCGCAAUGGGCGAAAGCCUGACGCAGCAACGCCGCGUGCGGGAUGACGGCCUUCGGGUUGUAAACCGCUUUCAGCAGGGACGAAAAUGACGGUACCUGCAGAAGAAGCCCCGGCUAACUACGUGCCAGCAGCCGCGGUAAUAAU
rnacentral:rRNA from 1 species